CCCCCCCAAAAAAAAAAAAAAAACCCAAUGCGUCAUGAAACAACGCAAAAUGAUUACGUCCGAUUGUCAUAAUAAUAAUAAUAAUAUCGCUGAGGUACCAGCAUGAUUAAAAAAUUCGUACAGUUUCUACUUGUACAUUGUGUACAUUGCCUAUUGCGGUUUACGUACCUCACAUCGUACACGUGUAUUCUGAGUGUCCUAACAGUGAUAUCCUUACGCUAAUAAUUCUGUUAACAAUCAUUUUUUCUCUACGCGUGUGUAACAAUUCGAUUUUUAUUUUCAUCUCUUGCAAUAAGCGACAAAAAAAAUAAUUUUUAUUUUUCAAAUUUUCAGACUGAAACAUUUUACAAAAUGGCUGUUUUGCGAAUUUCGAAAAAUGGAAAAACAAAGUAAUUUUUUUCAGCGAUUAAGGGGUGAAAAUAAAAACUUGAUUUUUCUCUACAUACGAGUCAAACAAUUUCCCCCACCACCGCCAUAACUAAAAAUCUCGUCAACGCGUGUUGACAGAAAUCAAAAACGUCAACACCAAAAUUUAUUCGAAUAAACACUCGUAUAUCCGCGGAAUUUUGAAUGUAGGUAGGUAGCCAUUUUAAUUUCAAAAAUCUACCCCCCCCCUCCCAUACCACAAAAGAGCGUCUAAAAAUGUCAAGCCCACGUGUUAUAAACACUGCAUCAUACUGUACGUAUAGGCUAUAUAAGUCAGUUUUUAUCCGUCAUUUUAAAUUUCGAAUCACCGUCGGGUACAAACAGACGUUAAGUCUAUGUAAGUAUGUAUGAAAACCGAAUUUCGUUUCCGGUGCGUAAACAUCACGUACGUCCGAUUUACUCGUUGAUUUUUUUUUUUUUUUUUUCCGGUGAUACGUGAUGUCGUGAUGUAUAAAAUGCUAUCGUAUUUUACAUAUUAUUAUUUUAACGAUUUCGGUCGGGAAAAACAUAAUUCGAUCGAGAUUUUAGUUAUUAUCGAAAAUACCCGCGCGGGAGAUGAUACCGAAAAUUGGGUUUGCCGGUCUCGAAACGUGAUUUUUCGCGCCUUUAUAAUAGUGAGCGUUAAAAAAAUAUUAUCGCAUCUCCGACGAGUUUUAGCUGCACAGUGUUAUAUCAUCUGUCUACCCGCCUGACUAUCCAGUCCGGUACCUACGCCUAGCAAACAUAUUAUAUUUCUUGUUUAUUCCAGAAAGCGUC